CCCGGUGNCUUAAUUUUAACGGCCGCAAUUAAUAGUUGUGCUAAGGUAGCGUAAUAAUUUGUCCUCUAAUUAAGGAAAGGAAUGAAUGGUUUGACGUGAAAAACACUGUCUUUGGAGUAUAGUAAAAACUUUUAAUAUUAGUGAAAAAACUAAUUUAUUUAAAAAAGACGAGAAGACCCUAUUGAGCUUAAAUAAAAAGUUUAAAAGGAAUUACUAAUAAAAUUUAGUUGGGGCAACUUAGAAGAAAAAUUAAACUUCUUGAAUUUUUUACGGAUCCAAAAUGUUUGAAUAAAGAACAAGUUACCGUGGGGAUACCAGCGUUAUCUUUUCUAAGAGAACAAAUCGAAGAGAAG
rnacentral:rRNA from 1 species